AGUGAACGCUGGCGGUAGGCCUAACACAUGCAAGUCGAACGGCAGCACAGUAAGAGCUUGCUCUUACGGGUGGCGAGUGGCGGACGGGUGAGGAAUACAUCGGAAUCUACUUUUUCGUGGGGGAUAACGUAGGGAAACUUACGCUAAUACCGCAUACGACCUACGGGUGAAAGCAGUGGAACUUCGGACCUUGCGCGAAUGAAUGAGCCGAUGUCGGAUUAGCUAGUUGGCGGGGUAAAGGCCCACCAAGGCGACGAUCCGUAGCUGGUCUGAGAGGAUGAUCGGCGACACUGGAACUGAGACACGGUCCAGACUCCUACGGGAGGCAGCAGUGGGGAAUAUGGGACAAUGGGCGCGAGCCUGAUCCAGCCAGACCGCGUGGGUGAAGAAGGCCUUCGGGUUGUAAAGCCCUUUUGUUGGGAAAGAAAAGCAGCAGGUUAAUACCCCGCUGUUCUGACGGUACCCAAAGAAUAAGCACCGGCUAACUUCGUG
rnacentral:rRNA from 1 species